AACCCAUCUUAGUAGAACUGAUAGGAAAGGGAGUCUAGCAUUUUGCAAGACAGUGUAAGAUGAGGAGUUGGUUACUUUGGGUGGCAAAGAGUGGAUUUUAUUUUACCGGACUAGUGAUUGUCACUUCUAAAUGCACUGUUAAAAGACUGGGUUAGAAAUAAAAACUAGUCGGUGGCCAAGGCCUGGAUUAGGUUUGUUUAGCAAUUGCCAACACAAUAUAGUUACGAUGCAUGAAUUAUUUAACAAAAUGAAGUAGCAAACCUAGGAUUUCUGCUUCAGAUUCUCUUACUUCACUCUAAGGAAAGCCCAAAGGAGGGGGUGUCAUGCAGGAGCCUUUACUGAGGUUAUCUUGUCUUUUAGCAGCUGCUAGUUGUUUCAAGACUUUUUCCCAGUUCUUUUGGCUUCCUCCUAAUGCACCAGUGUCCCUCUCUAAAUUAGCAGCUGUGGGAUGGGCUGUGCCUAAUGGGAGCCAUAUGUAGGAAUCAACUGAUUGGAUAAGAAGUCAGGUUCCCUUUUUUUUCUCCUCUCCAGUACAUGCAGGGGAGAGGAAGCUACUGCUAUGACCCUAUUCUACCUCUUUCAAGAUCAGCAGAUUCUAGACUGUAAAGGCUUGUCUGCACAUUAUCAAGAACCAUGUCAGAUGGGGAACUGAGGCACACUGGUUAAGUGACCUACUCAGUCACCUGUAAGUCCAUGGCAGAGCAGAGAUUUGAGCCCAGGACUCCCCAGUGCUAGGCUAGUACCCUAACCACUGAAUUUUAAAUGUGGGCUUCACAAGAAUUUUCA